rnacentral:rRNA from 1 species
GACGAACGCUGGCGGCGUGCUUAACACAUGCAAGUCGAACGGAAAGGCCCUGCUUUUGUGGGGUGCUCGAGUGGCGUACGGGUGAGUAACACGUGAGUAACCUGCCCUAGACUUUGGGAUAACUUCAGGAAACUGGGGCUAAUACCGGAUAGGAGCUCCUGCUGCAUGGUGGGGGUUGGAAAGUUUCGGCGGUUGGGGAUGGACUCGCGGCUUAUCAGCUUGUUGGUGGGGUAGUGGCUUACCAAGGCUUUGACGGGUAGCCGGCCUGAGAGGGUGACCGGCCACAUUGGGACUGAGAUACGGCCCAGACUCCUACGGGAGGCAGCAGUGGGGAAUAUUGCACAAUGGGCGGAAGCCUGAUGCAGCAACGCCGCGUGCGGGAUGACGGCCUUCGGGUUGUAAACCGCUUUCGCCUGUGACGAAGCGUGAGUGACGGUAAUGGGUAAAGAAGCACCGGCUAACUACGUG